rnacentral:tRNA from 1 species
GUGGUUGUAGUUCAGUCGGUUAGAGCGUCAGAUUGUGGUUCUGAAUGUCGUGGGUUCGAGUCCCACCAUCCACC